GAAAGAGUGAAAAAUUACCUUUCAUUGCUUGCUAUGGCAAGACUCCCCGUCCAUCCCAUGCUCGCCGCAGGUUACAAAUUCCUAUCAUUCAUUUUGUAGUUUAUAUUUUUAAAUGUCCUUCGAUAAUGACAGGUUAUUAAGUACCAUAGUUGUCAAUAGCGAGCGUAGCGCUCGCUUCAUCGCACUACCAUAGUUAACAAAAUAACGAAGAAGGUGACUGAUGGUGUCUUUUAAAAACCAAACUUAAUAAAAUAUUAUUUUCUGCGGCACCGGGUGAUGAUGAGAGACUAGGCGAAUAGGUGGAGAUCGUUAGUUCGAUCCUUCAACUGAGCGGGUUUUUACCUCACCGCACUGUCGUGUCUUCGGGCGACUGUUCACGGGCUUCGGCUCUAGUAAAUAUAUUGCUGAACAAAUUAGCAAGAGAGAGGGUGGCUAUGGAGUUUCGAGACCCCUGGCGAUGGCAGCAAUUCAAUUAGCGACAUGGUGGUGUUUGUUUUGAGUGGGUUCGAGACAGCCGCCUCUAAUACCGUCGAAUUUGGUACGCUUACUCUUUUUUUAACUGAUUGAACUUUCUUCGAUUUGAUGAGAAAUUGUAAUUUGUGUAGUUAGAACCCAUUUAGUUGAUGUAGAUUCAAAGCCUAUUAAACAACUGCAUCAGUUUGUGUAUGA